CAGAAAGGGAGCACGAUGGAUACAGUAGGAUUUAGAGGACACGCUACAGGACUGGCCAUCAGCAGCAGAGCGUUUAACAAUGAAACAGCAGUUAGAGACACCUCGCCUGUGAUGCUGUCUAUGUGGAACAUGUGGCUGGCUGGGAUUCGGGGUGUCUGGUCCAAAAGGCUGAAGCGUAGGUCAGCGUGGGCAGUGUUGCGAUCAUCACGGUCGAGGGCCUCCACUUGCAUGAACGGGAUCGCUGCAUUUCAGACAGCAAAGAUGGGGCAGGAGUUAGUCUUUAACACAGAUAGUAACAGGUUGAUUGAUAUCACUUAAUAACUGCUCUCAGAAUAAUAGAUUUCUGCUUCUAUAUUUCCAUCUAUUGUUGUGAAUACUGUGCCCUGAUUUGCCAUCUACCAAAGCUUUGGCUGGCGUGCAAGAGGUGCUAAUGUUAUUCCUCCUAAUAAACGGCCAAACGUUCAACUCUUCUUCACCACCAUCA